ACUCCUGCGGGAGGCAGCAGUGGGGAAUUUUGGACAAUGGGCGAAAGCCUGAUCCAGCAAUGCCGCGUGAGUGAAGAAGGCCUUCGGGUUGUAAAGCUCUUUUGUCAGGGAAGAAACGGUGAGAGCUAAUAUCUUUUGCUAAUGACGGUACCUGAAGAAUAAGCACCGGCUAACUACGUGCCAGCAGCCGCGGUAAUACGUAGGGUGCAAGCGUUAAUCGGAAUUACUGGGCGUAAAGCGUGCGCAGGCGGUUUUGUAAGUCUGAUGUGAAAUCCCCGGGCUCAACCUGGGAAUUGCAUUGGAGACUGCAAGGCUAGAAUCUGGCAGAGGGGGGUAGAAUUCCACGUGUAGCAGUGAAAUGCGUAGAUAUGUGGAGGAACACCGAUGGCGAAGGCAGCCCCCUGGGUCAAGAUUGACGCUCAUGCACGAAAGCGUGGGGAGCAAACAGGAUUAGAAACCCGUGUAGUCCCAUGAU
rnacentral:rRNA from 1 species